rnacentral:misc_RNA from 1 species
GGAUAGUACACUACUUAUGACGUACUUUGCUCCCAUAUGUAAUACAUAUAUGUCUCGGUACUUGGAUGCGCCGCUUGGGCCAUUCUAAAUUUCAUCCGAAUAUAUAUUAUUCAAAAAGUUUAGCAUUCGUUUUUUUUGGUUGAAAUUUCUCAUAGUAUUUGUUUGGGAAGCUGUUCUUCGCCCUUCCGCGCAUGGAAAGCUUGUAAACAUACA